CUGCUUGCCAGUGUGAACCCAAGUUUGGAAGCGUUUCAGGUGAUAAUGUCGGGACCAGGCAUGCUGAAAGCUCCGAGACACAACUUGGCAGCGCAACAAUUUUUGUUCGAAAAAAAGAACGUCGAGAAUGACGCUGCAACAAGAGCAAGUUUCCGUGUGUCACAUCUUUUGGCAAAGCGAGGAAAGCCCUUUGCCGAUGUUGCUGUUUGUUCAUGGGGUCAGCAAAGAUUUUGAAUUGAUUGAAGAGCUGGCCUCUGUGCACGACA